GCGUUCGGGUAAUCGCUGUAACGUAUGUUGCAGAGGAAAGUCCAUGCUCGCACGAGCUGAGAUGCUCGUAGUGUUCGUGCCUAGCCAAUUCAUAAGCUAGGGCAGUUGGGUUAACCAGCUGACGGCAGGGAAAAUGCCUAAGUCCUUUAGGAUAUGGCAUGAAUACCUAUAAAGGUGCCACAGUGACGUAGCCUUUUCAGAAAUGAAAAGGGUGGAACGAGGUAAACCCCGCGAGCGAGAAACCCAAACUAUGGUAGGGGCACUUUCUCUGAGGAAUUGAACGAGGAGAAGGACAGGUUCUAUGGAACCUGUAGAUAGAUGAUUACCACCGAAGUACGAGACUUUUUGUCGUUUGGAGUACUAUGGUACAGAACAUGGCUUACAGAA
rnacentral:RNase_P_RNA from 1 species